GACGAACCGAGCGAACGUUGUUCGGAAUCACUGGGCUUAAAGGGCGCGUAGGCGGGUAUCCAAGUCUAUGGUGAAAUCCGGCAGCUUAACUGUCGAACUGCCGUGGAUACUGGGUAUCUCGAGGGAGGUAGGGGCGUGCGGAACUAUUGGUGGAGCGGUGAAAUGCGUUGAUAUCAAUAGGAACACCGGUGGCGAAGGCGGCAUCCUGGACCGGCAUUGACGCUGAGGCGCGAAAGCCAGGGGAGCAAACGGG
rnacentral:rRNA from 1 species